rnacentral:rRNA from 1 species
AUCCUGGCUCAGGAUGAACGCUAGCUACAGGCUUAACACAUGCAAGUCGAGGGGCAUCAGGACGAUAGCUUGCUAUUGUUGCUGGCGACCGGCGCACGGGUGAGUAACGCGUAUCCAACCUGGCCCUUAGUAGGGGAUAGCCCGGCGAAAGUCGGAUUAAUACCCUAUGUUUUCCUUUGAUGGCAUCUGAUUUGGAACAAAGAUUAAUCGCUAAGGGAUGGGGAUGCGUCUGAUUAGGUAGUAGGCGGGGUAACGGCCCACCUAGCCAACGAUCAGUAGGGGUUCUGAGAGGAAGGUCCCCCACAUUGGUACUGAGACACGGACCAAACUCCUACGGGAGGCAGCAGUGAGGAAUAUUGGUCAAUGGACGAGAGUCUGAACCAGCCAAGUAGCGUGCAGGAUGACUGCCCUAUGGGUUGUAAACUGCUUUUAUGCGGGAAUAAAGUUCGGCACGUGUGCCGUUUUGUAUGUACCGCAUGAAUAAGGACCGGCUAAUUCCGUGCC